rnacentral:rRNA from 1 species
AGCCACAGCCAUAACACCUUGCACACCAAGACUGGAUACUCACUGAAGCUGAGCAGGGCUGAGCCUGGACAGAACCUGCAUGGGUGACCACAUGGGGAAAAACUAGGUUGCUGUUGGAA